rnacentral:rRNA from 1 species
AUUGGACGCUGGCGGCAGGCCUAACACAUGCAAGUCGUGCGGAUGAAGGGAGCUUGCUCCUGGAUUCAGCGGCGGACGGGUGAGUAAUGCCUAGGAAUCUGCCUGGUAGUGGGGGAUAACGUCCGGAAACGGGCGCUAAUACCGCAUACGUCCUGAGGGAGAAAGUGGGGGAUCUUCGGACCUCACGCUAUCAGAUGAGCCUAGGUCGGAUUAGCUAGUUGGUGGGGUAAAGGCCUACCAAGGCGACGAUCCGUAACUGGUCUGAGAGGAUGAUCAGUCACACUGGAACUGAGACACGGUCCAGACUCCUACGGGAGGCAGCAGUGGGGAAUAUUGGACAAUGGGCGAAAGCCUGAUCCAGCCAUGCCGCGUGUGUGAAGAGGGUCUUCGGAUUGUAAAGCACUUUAAGUUGGGAGGAAGGGCAGUAAGUUAAUACCUUGCUGUUUUGACGUUACCAACAGAAUAAGCACCGGCUAACUUCGUG